UCUGAGUCGGGGCAGCCCAUUCCCGCUGGAGGGGGGCCGCCAAGAUCCUUAUGGGCAGCGCUGGGGGAGCGGGGCGCUCUGGGACGUCCCAUGAUACACCAGUGUGGGGGAGCAACAUGCCGAGUUGUCCCAUGAUGCGUUGGGGGAACAGCACCGAGGGCAAUCGUCCAGUGACCCCGGGUGCCUGGCCAUCAACCCACAGAGCCUGGGACACGAGCAGGAGGAACCGGACGUCUUCGCGCAGUCGCAGCACUAUGACGUGAUCAGGAUAACAGAGACGUGCUGGGAGCUCGCAGGACUCGAGAACGGUCAUGGACGGGUGCAAACUGCUAAAGGAAGGACAGGCCGGGGAGAAGAGGAGGAGGAGGAGUCGUCGCACUUUAUGUAAGAGAGCUGUACGACUGCUCAGAGCUCCAGUAUGAAGCUGGAGAGAGGCCUGUUGAGGGUCUCUGGGUUAGAGGCAGAGGAGAGAGCAACAAGGGUGAUGUCAUGGUGGGGUCUGCUAUAGACCACAGACCAGGAGGAAGGGGUGGACGAGGCUUUCUUCCAACAGCUAGUGGAAGUUUGCCAGUCACACACCCUGGUUCUCAUGGGGGACUUCAGUCACCCUGACAUCUGCUGGGAGAGCAAUACAGCAGUGCACAGGCAAUGCAGGGAGUUUUUGGAGAGUGUUGAGGACAACUUCCUGGUGCAAGGGCUGGAGCAGCGAACUAGGGGCCGUUCUCUUCUUGAGGUGCUGCUCACAAACAGGGAGGUUAUUGGUGAGGUAUGUAGUAGUGGAUGACAACUUGGGCAGCAGUGACCACAAGAUGAUUGAGUUUAGGAUCCUGAGGAAAGGAAGGAUGGAAAGCAGCAGAGUAAGGACCCUGGACUUCAGAAAAGCAGACUUCAACUUACUCAGGGAACUCAUGGGCAAGAUCCACCUGGGAAGCCAGACUGAGGCAGAGGAGUCCAGGAGACCUGGCUGUACUUGAAAGAAGCCUUACUGAGAGUGCAGGAACAAACCGUCUCAACGCGCAGGAAGACUAGCAAAUAUGGUAGAAGACUACCUUGGCUUAGCAGGUAACUCCUCAUUAAACUAAAUCACAAAAAAGGAAGCUGAUAAGAAGUGAAAACUUGGACAAACAAAUAAGGAGGUUUGUAAAAGCAUUGCUUGGGCAUACAGGGAUGAAGUCAGGAAGGCCAGAGCGCAAUUAGAGUUGCAGCUAGCAAGGGAUGUGAAAGGUAACAAGGCUUUCUACAAGUAUAUCAGUAUCAAGAGGAGGAUCAGAGAAAGUGUGGGUCCCUUACUGACUGGGAGAGGCAGCCUUGUGACAGAGGAUGCAGAAAAGGCUGACGUGCUCAAUGCCUUUUUCAGCUCAGUUUUCACAGACGAGGGCAGCUCCCAGGUUACUGAACCGGGCAGCACAGUUUGGGGAGGAGGUGAGCAGCCCUCAGUGCUGAAAGAACAGGUUAGGAACUGCUUAGAAAAGCUGAACAUGUACAAGUCCAUGGGGCCGGAUGGGAUGCACCCGAGGGUGCUGAGGGAGCUGGCUGAUGUGAUUGCAGAGCCACUGGCCAUCAUCUUUGAAGACUCAUGGCAAUCAGGAGAGGUCCCAGAUGGCUGGAAAAGGGCAAACAUAACACCCAUAUUUAAGAAAGGGAAAAAGGAGGAUCUAGGGAACUACAGCUCUCACAAUUACCCACCAGGUGGUAGGGGCCAGAGUUAAGGCACCCCUACCCACCUUCCACCAGCGAGGUUUGUGGUCCUGACAUUUAGUUGAGACUACCACACUGCCAGCAGCCCCACCAGGCCAUCCUUAACUGGUAGAGUGCAGUUUUAGGUCAUGCCCAGGACCUGGAGCCCCCAAGCCAUCCCCAAAGCUCCUGCCCUUACCUCCAGGAUGUUCCAGAGCUGUAGCUCAGCCAGCUGAUGUUUCUUUCACAGCCCCUGGCAGCAAACUGCUGUCUCCCCCUAUAUAAGCUGUGUCCUAAGAUGGCCACCCUAAUCAGGCACCUGCCAGCUGCCUGCCUCAGCCCUUAAACUGGCAGGCACCUGAAGGCAUGCUGCCACAGGGCACAGGACUUGAGAGGCUGAGGGAACUGGACUUACAUAGUCUAGGGAAGACAAAGAUGACUGAGAGGGGUUUAUUAACUGCCUUCAACUACCUGAAAUGGGGGUUGAAAAAAGGAGGGAGCUGGACCUUUUUCAGUGGUGUCAGAUGACAGAACAAGGAGCAAUGGGCUCACGUUGCAGCAAGGGAAGUUUAGGUUGGAUAUUAGGAAGUAUUCUCUCACUAGGAGGGUUUUCUCACUACAGCUGGCUACCCAGAGAGAUGCUGGAGUCUCCACCCUUGCAGGUUUUUAAGACCUGGCUUGACAAAGCCUUGGCUGGGAUGUUGAUGUAGUUGGUCCUGCUUGGAGCAAGGGGUUGGAGGUCCUUUCCAACUCUCAUUGUCUAGGAUUCUGUGUCAGUGAUGUCAUCAGUCUAGUAUGGGGAAAAACCUCCAGUUCCCAUAGCCACCUACACGCAAGGGAGUGAGUGAUGGGUCUGGCAUCUCAGCCACCCACCUUUGCUCAGCCCCAGUAUCCAGGCACCCAUGUACAGCUGGGCUUUUGACUCCGGUCUCGAGCGAGGCACUCCACUGCCCCGAUGCUUGGUACAUCAUGUGUCACUCCUGCCACUGGUGAAACAAAACCACUGGUGCUGCCAAACGUCACAGUACACGGCAGCUGCAGCUGGAACGGAAGGAAGAGGAUGGCUUGGGUAUUUGUUUAGCUAGGAGGGUGGCUAAAUGCCCUUUAAUCUUGAUUGGAAACCCAGGGAUUCCCUGCCGCUAUAUGCUAGGACACUUGGGUUCCUUGGAAAUCACCCAUCCAAGGAUAAUCCACUCCUGGCCUGUCUUAAGCUCAUGACAGCUGACAAGCACGAACAGAGCCAGCGUGACUGAAAGCAUAUUACUAUGCCAGUACCAUCUUCCUCUUGUGAUGACGACAAGACUGGUAGAUGCCACAGGGCUGUAUCAUUGCAGAGGAAGUCUUAGCCGUCAGACAGCUAGCGUGGUUAUCAUUUAUUUUUAUUCCAUUCUCUAGCACACAUUACGCUUUCCUUUGAUUCAGAAGAGAGCAGAAAAAGGUUAGGGGGAAGGGGGGUGGGGGGAAGAAUCUCAUGUUACAAAAGGGAAAAGCACACGUGGAUAUAGUCGGCUCUCUACAGCAAAGUAGAUAUAUACCAUGAACGGCAGCAGAACAGUCAGUUCUGUUUUUCCAGGAAAGAAGAGCAGCUUGGGGUUGGUUGUUAAGGGAAAGACCAUUCCUGGUAGCUCUCUGCGUUCUUCUAGCGACAGAAGCAUUAUACUAUCAUAUAGAAUAUACAAUGUCCAGCGCUCUCUCUGGACGCAGACAUGGAGCUGACAGGGCUGCAGAUCCUAAAGCUUCAAGAAACAUGAGCCAGACCCCUAACAAACAAUCAUUAGAUUAACUAAAAAAAUAAAUUGCAAGGUUUCAAUUGCUUUUUUAAAGGAGGGAAGUUGUGGUUUUUUGCAUUUGUCUUCUAGGGUUUGAGCGUCUAGUGGUCGUGUAGGAUUUUCUCUGCAACCACAAGGGUGAAGAAUGGAGUUUAUAAAGAAAAAAGAAGCUGAGAUUAUUCUCAUGUCAUCGCAUGAAAUGAGAACUUGAGUAAAAGAGCAGCUGCCUCCAUGUUAGUGACACUGGGUUUCCAACUCUUGGACCAGAUCCCUCAGCCUUAUGGGAGGCAUCUGCUAAAUGGAGUCAGUUUUAGGUCCAGCUCUAUAGGAAGGAAAAGAUGCAGUGAAGGAGUCGGGCUGCCAGUUUCGCUGUGAGUGAAGGGCUGGGUAGAAGAACCAGGAUCUGGAGACUCAAUGAUGGGCAUCAUAUUGAGUCAAAAGGUAGAUUUCCACCUUAUAGACCGACUAAAUCAAAGAUAACUUCAUUUGAUGCGUCUGAUGAAGUGAGCUUGGGCUAAUGAGAGCUUAUGCUGUUUAUAUUAUAUAUCUAUUUCAGUUAGUCUAUAAGAUGCAACUCUACCCUGCCUGAUUUCAGACUAACACGGUGAACCACCUCUGAUCAUAGUCUCGCUCUUGCGUCCUUCUCACCAGUCUAGUCCCUGCUGUACCUUUCUGAGGUUAUGACUCUUUUUUCAGAUCCAAGCAUGCGUAGUUGUUUGUCACAUAACUGUGUUGGUGCCAAAACUGGUGUGAAGCCAUCAGGCAUUCAAUACCUUUUCCUGAAAUAAUAAAAGGUGUGAUUGGUGUGCUUGAUAAGUGACAGGAGAGUGACAGCACCUCUGAGAGAGGGAUUGAAUGAGCAAAUGGCUGACUGGGGGUAUGACUGGGUCAUUUAAAAGGAGCUUGCACCCAAGGUAGGGGUGCGUGCCUGGGACUGUUUGUGCACUUGCAUCCACACGGGGAGACUGGUCCAGCACCCUGGAAAUCCAGCGCGUCAGAGCAGACUUGAUUUAUCGAGCGUGCUGGAGCAAGUACAUUGAUGUGCUCUGGCAGCCUCACGCAUCACAUGCAUCAGCAGUGCAAUGCGUCUCCGUGCUGAGAAAAUGGUGGUGGUGCUCUCUGAACUAACACACGUUUGACGUGCUUUAGUUCAAAGGGCACCGCUGCUGAUGCACAUGACACGUGGGCAUUUUUAAUUAGCGCAGCUCAAUAAAAGCACCUGGCGCUACAUUGGGAGCAUGUGUAAAAAUGCCCUGUGUCUGAAGGGCUGUGUGCCAUGGUGUUGUGGGAGUUGAGUCGCUCUUGUAUUGAUUGGGGUGUGGUAAGGUGUGUAAUAGAUUUUUUUUUUUAAGGAAAAUUUUUUGUGUUCCAAGUCAAAUUAAUUCCAAAUUCGUAAGUCAUUCAAGAACCAAAAUGGCCUUGCUAGUGGCAUGAAUGACUGGUGCUUCCUGCGACUGGGUGGGCACCAUGGCGGCAAGCGGGGACCACCCGCAGCCGCUGCUGGCGGUGUUGGCAGCAGGGAGUGGGUGGCGAGCAGGGGCUGCCUGCAGCCACCACCAGCCAUGUCAGCAGCGAGGGGGGGGCAGGGGCAGGUGGCGACCGCCUGCAGAAGCCAGUGGCAGCUUAGGUGGUGGCCAAUCUCAGGGGGGCCAUGUGUCCCCCCACUACACUUGCCUAUGACUACCGGCAAGCAUCCUCCAGCCCUGCAUGGGGUUUUAGAUGCUUCCAAAUCCUUUGGUGGGCAUCCUACGUGCAGGCCCAAGCCUGGAGGCUUGGGGUUCAGAUGCCCCUGAGUUUUGCUUGCCGUCAGCCAUAUGUCUACAGAAGCAAGCUAGGGAGGAGUCUCCCAUUGCUAUAAAGUUGGUGUGUAGCCAGGAUCCUCCCACUGGAAGCUGGCCAGCGGGAAGCUAACUGUGAGGCUGUCACAGGGAGUCCUGUCCGCAAGCAGACAAGGGUGCAACCCUCCACUAUGCAGUGCCAUUUUAAUUGCAUUACCUUGGUCAGGGUAUUUCACCUGCCACCACUGUGGUCCUGGUAUUUCCCCUACCAGGUAAGUAUGUGUGAUAGGUUGUGGUUGCAUAUGUACACCUCUCUGGUUGUGGAGUGAGGAGGCAUUAGCUGUGGAUUGUCUAUUCCCCGCCAGAGACCAACACCAGCAAAGCAAAGGUGACGGAUCACCCUCCUUUGUAGGGUGGAGUACCUGAACAAAGGGAAAAACUCUGGGGAGCGGGUAGAGGGGCUGGGGAAAGCUCUUACUCGUACUGCACGGAGAACUGUCACUGCCACAGCUGUCAGAGCCUGCAACAUCCUUGACACCUGAGUGAGAGAAGGGAGUUUGCUUUCUAUUCUCUACAUCAACCACUCUGUUACUGUGUGUUCAUUGUGUUCUCAUCGUUCGUUGCUGUAUGUUAAUUAUUUGCUCUUAUAUAAUAGUCGCGUGGUUUAAUUA